UACAGAGGUCUCAAGCGUUGUUCGGAUUCAUUGGGCGUAAAGGGUGUGUAGGCGGAUGCCUAAGUACCUUGUGAAAUCCCACAGCUCAACUGUGGAACUGCUUGGUAUACUGGGUGUCUUGAGCCACUUAGGGGCUACCGGAACAAAUGGUGGAGCGGUGAAAUGCGUAGAUAUCAUUUGGAACGCCAAUGGUGAAAACAGGUAGCUGGGAGUGUGCUGACGCUGAGACACGAAAGCCAGGGGAGCAAACGGG
rnacentral:rRNA from 1 species